GCCAUUUUAACUCACAGAUGCUGUUUGGACUUUUCAACACGGUGCCAUCUCGCCAGUAUUUGGUGCACAGAGACAUUGUGCAGUGGUUUUGGACUAUAAAGCAGGGGACACAUUAUACAUUAUACAGUGAUUGUUUUUCAUUUAGCCUGUAUGUGUUCUUUUUAUGGGGUUAUUGCAUGUUUUGGGGUCCCUGUGAUGUGUUUUAUGAAACUGUAUUUCUCUGUCUGUGAUAAUUAGAUUACCCAUUGUGUAAGGUAAUUGUAUCACAGGCAGGGGG